rnacentral:rRNA from 1 species
CCUUACACAUGCAAGUCAAACGGCAGCACGGGAGCUUGCUCCUGGUGGCGAGUGGCGAACGGGUGAGUAAUACAUCGGAACGUACCCAGUAGUGGGGGAUAACGCACCGAAAGGUGCGCUAAUACCGCAUACGACCUAAGGGUGAAAGCGGGGGACCGUAAGGCCUCGCGCUAUUGGAGCGGCCGAUGUCUGAUUAGCUAGUUGGUGAGGUAAAGGCUCACCAAGGCUUCGAUCAGUAGCUGGUCUGAGAGGACGAUCAGCCACACUGGGACUGAGACACGGCCCAGACUCCUACGGGAGGCAGCAGUGGGGAAUUUUGGACAAUGGGCGAAAGCCUGAUCCAGCAAUGCCGCGUGUGCGAAGAAGGCCUUCGGGUUGUAAAGCACUUUUGUCAGGGAAGAAAUCUUUUAGGCUAAUACCUUGGAAGGAUGACGGUACCUGAAGAAUAAGCACCGGCUAACUACGUGCCAGCAGCCGCGGUAAUACGUAGGGUGCAAGCGUUAAUCGGAAUUACUGGGCGUAAAGCGCGCGUAGGCCGUUGAGUUAGUUAAUUGUGAAAUCCCAAAGCUUAACUUUGGAACUGCAAUUAAAACUGCUCGACUAGAGUUUGAUAGAGGAAAGCGGAAUACAUAGUGUAGAGGUGAAAUUCGUAGAUAUUAUGUAGAACACCAGUUGCGAAGGCGGCUUUCUGGAUCAACACUGACGCUGAGGCGCGAAAGUAUGGGUAGCAAAGAGGAUUAGAUACCCUCGUAGUCCAUACCAUAAACGAUGAUUGCUAGAUGUUGG